UUGCUGUGAUGACAAUCUUAGGACACCUUUGGAAUACCCAUGAAAAAAAAUCAAGUUCUUUCUGAGCAAC
rnacentral:snoRNA from 1 species